CCUACGGGAGGCAGCAGUGGGGAAUAUUGCACAAUGGGCGGAAGCCUGAUGCAGCAACGCCGCGUGAGGGAUGACGGCCUUCGGGUUGUAAACCUCUUUUAGCAGGGAAGAAGCGUAAGUGACGGUACCUGCAGAAAAAGCCCCGGCUAACUUCGUGCCAGCAGCCGCGGUAAU
rnacentral:rRNA from 1 species